rnacentral:rRNA from 1 species
GAUUAACGCUAGCGGCAGGCCUAAUACAUGCAAGUCGAACGGCAGCGGGUCCAGCAAUGGAUGCCGGCGAGUGGCGCACGGGUGCGUAACGCGUAUGCAAUCUACCCUUAACUGGGGGAUAGCCCCGAGAAAUCGGGAUUAAUACCCCAUAAUAUUAAGAAGAGGCCUCUCUUUUCAAUUAAAGUUCCGGCGGUUUUGGAUGAGCAUGCGUGACAUUAGCUUGUUGGUGAGGUAACGGCUCACCAAGGCGACGAUGUCUAGGGGUUCUGAGAGGAUUUUCCCCCACACUGGUACUGAGACACGGACCAGACUCCUACGGGAGGCAGCAGUAAGGAAUAUUGGGCAAUGGGCGCAAGCCUGACCCAGCCAUGCCGCGUGAAGGAUGACGGCCCUAUGGGUUGUAAACUUCUUUUGUACGGGAAAAAACCCCUGGUCGUGUACCAGGGCUGAUGGUACCGUAAGAAUAAGCAUCGGCUAACUCCGUGCCAGCAGCCGCAGUAACAC